UGCGUAGGCGGGAGUUUAAGUCAGUGGUGAAAUCCUGCAGCUUAACUGUAGAAUUGCCAUUGAAACUGAAUUUCUUGAGUGCAGUUGAGGUGAGCGGAAUGUGUAAUGUAGCGGUGAAAUGCUUAGAUAUUACACAGAACACCGAUUGCGUAGGCAGCUCACUAAACUGUUACUGACGCUGAGGCACGAAAGCGUGGGGAGCGAACA
rnacentral:rRNA from 1 species